rnacentral:rRNA from 1 species
UACGAGGGGGGGCAAGCGUUGUUCGGAAUUAUUGGGCGUAAAGGGCGCGUAGGCGGUGCGGUAAGUCACCUGUGAAAACUCUGGGCUCAACUCAGAGCCUGCAGGCGAAACUGCCGUGCUUGAGUGUGGGAGAGGUGCGUGGAAUUCCCGGUGUAGCGGUGAAUGACGUAGAUAUCGGAAGGAACACCGGUGGCGAAAGCGGCGCGCUGGACCUCUUCUGACGCUGAGGCGCGAAAGCCAGGGGAGCAAACAGG